rnacentral:rRNA from 1 species
AACGUAGGAGGCAAGCGUUAUCCGGAGUUACUGGGCGUAAAGCGCGUGUAGGUGGGUUGGUAAGUUACUUAUGAAAGCUCCUGGCUAAACUAGGAGAGGUUGAGUGAUACUGCCAGUCUUGAAUAGAGGAGAGGUUGACGGAAUUCCGCGUGUAGUGGUGAAAUUCGUAGAUAUUCGGAAGAACACCAGUGGCGAAGGCGGCAUCCUGGACCAAUAUUGACGCUGAGGAGCGAAAGCCAGGGGAGCAAACGGG